rnacentral:rRNA from 1 species
ACGGCUCAGUAACACGUAGCUAACCUACCCUUAGGACGUGGACAACCCCGAGAAAUUGGGGCUAAUCCCGCGAUAGAUGUAUUGUCCUGGGAUGGUAUUACGUCUAAAGGUAUCCCAUACAUGUUUGGUAUAUGCCUAAGGAUGGGGCUGCGGCCGAUCAGGCUGUUGGUGAGGUAAUGGCUCACCAAACCUUUGACCGGUACGGGCCAUGAGAGUGGUAGCCCGGAGAUGGACACUGAGACAAGGGUCCAGGCCCUACGGGGCGCAGCAGGCGCGAAACCUCCUCAAUGCACUUACGUGCGAAGGGGCUACCUCGAGUGCCACCUGAUGAAGGUGGCUUUUCCUAGGUCUAAAAAGCCUUGGGAAUAAGAGGGGGGCAAGACUGGUGUCAGCCGCCGCGGUAACACCAGCCCCUCGAGUGGUGGGGAUGAUUAUUGGGCCUAAAGCGUCCGUAGCCUGCCGUGUAAGUUUCCCGUUAAAUCCAGCGUCUUAAGCGUUGGACCGCGGGAAAUACUGUACGGCCAGAGAGUGGGAGAGGUCAGCGGUAUUCUGGGGGUAGGGGCGAAAUCCUUUGAUCCCCGGAGGACCACCAGUGGCGAAGGCUGCUGUCUAGAACACGUCUGACGGUCAGGGACGAAAGCUGGGGUAGCGAACCGGAUUAGAUACCCGGGUAGUCCCAGCCGUAAACGAUGCAUGCUAGGUGUUGGGUUGGCCACGAGCCACCCCAGUGCCGCAGGGAAGCCGUUAAGCAUGCCGCCUGGGAAGUACGAUCGCAAGGUUGAAACUUAAAGGAAUUGGCGGGGGAGCACCACCAGGCGUGAAGCCUGCGGUUUAAUUGGAGUCAACGCCGGA